rnacentral:miRNA from 1 species
AUAAGUAGGUUCUUAUUCGGCU